UACAGAGGAUGCAAGCGUUAUCCGGAAUGAUUGGGCGUAAAGCGUCUGUAGGUGGCUUUUUAAGUCCGCCGUCAAAUCCCAGGGCUCAACUCUGGACAGGCGGUGGAAACUACCAAGCUGGAGUACGGUAGGGGCAGAGGGAAUUUCCGGUGGAGCGGUGAAAUGCGUAGAGAUCGGAAAGAACACCAAAGGUGAAAACAGACAGCUGGGAGUGUGCUGACGCUGAGACGCGAAAGCCAGGGGAGCGAACGGG
rnacentral:rRNA from 1 species